UACGGAGGAUCCGAGCGUUAUCCGGAUUUAUUGGGUUUAAAGGGUGCGUAGGCGGCCUAUUAAGUCAGGGGUGAAAGACGGUAGCUUAACUAUCGCAGUGCCUUUGAUACUGAUAGGCUUGAAUGUACUUGAGGUAGGCGGAAUGUGACAAGUAGCGGUGAAAUGCAUAGAUAUGUCACAGAACACCAAUUGCGAAGGCAGCUUACUGGAGUAUGACUGACGCUGAGGCACGAAAGCGUGGGGAGCAAACAGG
rnacentral:rRNA from 1 species